GUAUACCUUGUUAACAUCUGUGAGAGAGAAAUAUAAAUGGUUUACAGUACUUGAUUUAAAAGAUGCCUUCUUCUGCAUACCCCUUGACCAGGAAAGCAAAAGCUAUUCGCUUUCGAAUGGGAGAAUCCACACAACAGGAGAAAGGCCCAAUUAACCUGGACACGCCUUCCACAAGGAUUUAAGAAUAGUCCAACUAUCUUCGGAAAUCAACUAGCCAAAGAGCUUGAGGAAUGGACUACAAGAGGCUAUAUCAGAAUUCCUCGACAAUGGUAUUUGUUGCUGCAAUAUGUGGAUGAUAUUCUGAUUGCUGCUGAGACCCAAGAACUUUGCAUUCAGGAAUGGCAGGAUGGUGCAGGCUCUGGAUCAUGGACUAUGGACUUAUUGCCAAACCUUUAUACGAGGCACAGAAGAAUAAGACCUUGGUGUGGGAAAGACCACAACAAGAAGCUUUUCAAAAAUUGAAACAGGCCUUAAUGCAAGCGCCUGCUUUGGGCCUACCUGAUCUGAGUAAAGACUUUCAGUUAUUUGUACAUGAAUGACAGAGACUUGCUCUAGGGGUAUUAACCCAAUGGCUGGGAUCUUGGAAAAGGCCCGUCAGUUAUUUCUCUAAACAACUUGACCCGGUAAGUGCUGGAUGGCCGGCGUGCUUGCGGGCGGUGGCUGCUACCGUGACAUUAAUUCAGGAAGUCCGGAAACUGACUAUGGGGAAAAGGAUCGAAGUGUUUGUAUCCCAUAUGGUGACUACUGUAUUGGAACAAAAGGGGGGCCAUUGGCUUUCCCCAAGUAGGAUGAUGAAAUAUCAGGCAAU